rnacentral:rRNA from 1 species
UACGUAGGGGGCAAGCGUUUUCCGGAUUUAUUGGGCGUAAAGCGCUCGCAGGUGGUUCGAUACGUCGUGCGUGAAAGACCCCGGCUCAACUGGGGAGGGUCGUGCGAUACGGUCGGACUGGAGGCCAGUAGGGGGAUGCGGAAUUCCGGGUGUAGUGGUGGAAUGCGUAGAGAUCCGGAGGAACACCAGCGGCGAAGGCGGCAUCCUGGACUGGUCCUGACACUCAUGAGCGAAAGCGUGGGGAGCGAUCCGG